rnacentral:rRNA from 1 species
AUGAACGCUGGCGGCGUGCCUAAUCCCUGCAAGUCGAGCGAACAGACGAGGAGCUUGCUCCUCUAACGUUAGCGGCGGACGGGUGAGUAACACGUGGAUAACCUACCUAUAAGACUGGGAUAACUUCGGGAAACCGGAGCUAAUACCGGAUAAUAUAUUGAACCGCAUGGUUCAAUAGUGAAAGACGGUUUUGCUGUCACUUAUAGAUGGAUCCGCGCCGCAUUAGCUAGUUGGUAAGGUAACGGCUUACCAAGGCAACGAUGCGUAGCCGACCUGAGAGGGUGAUCGGCCACACUGGAACUGAGACACGGUCCAGACUCCUACGGGAGGCAGCAGUAGGGAAUCUUCCGCAAUGGGCGAAAGCUUGACGGAGCAACGCCGCGUGAGUGAUGAAGGUCUUCGGAUCGUAAAACUCUGUUAUUAGGGAAGAACAAAUGUGUAAGUAACUAUGCACGUCUUGACGGUACCUAAUCAGAAAGCCACGGCUAACUACGUG